rnacentral:rRNA from 1 species
AUUGAACGCUGGCGGCAGGCCUAACACAUGCAAGUCGAACGGUAACAGGAAGCAGCUUGCUGCUUCGCUGACGAGUGGCGGACGGGUGAGUAAUGUCUGGGAAACUGCCUGAUGGAGGGGGAUAACUACUGGAAACGGUAGCUAAUACCGCAUAACGUCGCAAGACCAAAGAGGGGGACCUUAGGGCCUCUUGCCAUCGGAUGUGCCCAGAUGGGAUUAGCUAGUAGGUGGGGUAACGGCUCACCUAGGCGACGAUCCCUAGCUGGUCUGAGAGGAUGACCAGCCACACUGGAACUGAGACACGGUCCAGACUCCUACGGGAGGCAGCAGUGGGGAAUAUUGCACAAUGGGCGCAAGCCUGAUGCAGCCAUGCCGCGUGUAUGAAGAAGGCCUUCGGGUUGUAAAGUACUUUCAGCGGGGAGGAAGGGAGUAAAGUUAAUACCUUUGCUAAUUGACGUUACCCGCAGAAGAAGCACCGGCUAACUCCGUG